rnacentral:misc_RNA from 1 species
GAUGAAGAACGUAGCGAAAUGUGAUACGUAGUGUGAAUUGCAGAAUUCAGUGAAUCAUCGAAUCUUUGAACGCACAUUGCACCUCUCGGUAUUCCGGGAGGUAUGCCUGUUCGAGCGUCAUUUGUACCCUCAAGCUCUGCUUGGUGUUGGGUGUUUGUUCCGCCUCUGUGUGUGAACUCGCCUCAAAACAAUUGGCAGCCGGCGUACUUGUUUCGGAGCGCAGCACAUUUUGCGAUCCAGAUCAACGUACAGCGGCAUCCAAGAAGCCUUAUUUAACGCUCUUGACCUCGGAUCAGGUAGGGAUACCCGCUGAACUUAAGCAUAUCAAUAAGCGGAGGA